rnacentral:rRNA from 1 species
AUUGAACGCUGGCGGCAUGCUUUACACAUGCAAGUCGAGCGGCAGCGCGGGGGCAACCCUGGCGGCGAGCGGCGAACGGGUGAGUAAUGCAUCGGAACGUAUCCUCGAGUGGGGGAUAACCCAGCGAAAGUUGGGCUAAUACCGCAUGAGCUCUGAGGAGGAAAGCGGGGGACCUGCGAGGGCCUCGCGCUGGAGGAGCGGCCGAUGUCCGAUUAGCUAGUUGGUGGGGUAAAGGCUUACCAAGGCGACGAUCGGUAGCUGGUCUGAGAGGAUGAUCAGCCACACUGGGACUGAGACACGGCCCAGACUCCUACGGGAGGCAGCAGUGGGGAAUUUUGGACAAUGGGGGCAACCCUGAUCCAGCCAUGGCGCGUGAGUGAAGAAGGCCUUCGGGUUGUAAAGCUCUUUCGGACGGAACGAAAUGGGCGGGACUAAUACUCCUGUCUGAUGACGGUACCGUAAGAAGAAGCACCGGCUAACUACGUG